UGGGGAAUUUUGGACAAUGGGCGAAAGCCUGAUCCAGCAAUGCCGCGUGUGUGAAGAAGGCCUUCGGGUUGUAAAGCACUUUUGUCCGGAAAGAAAUCCUUGGCUCUAAUACAGUCGGGGGAUGACGGUACCGGAAGAAUAAGCACCGGCUAACUACGUGCCAGCAGCCGCGGUAAUACGUAGGGUGCAAGCGUUAAUCGGAAUUACUGGGCGUAAAGCGUGCGCAGGCGGUUUGCUAAGACCGAUGUGAAAUCCCCGGGCUCAACCUGGGAACUGCAUUGGUGACUGGCAGGCUAGAGUAUGGCAGAGGGGGGUAGAAUUCCACGUGUAGCAGUGAAAUGCGUAGAGAUGUGGAGGAAUACCGAUGGCGAAGGCAGCCCCCUGGGCCAAUACUGACACUCAUGCACGAAAGCGUGGGGAGCAAACAGGAUUAGAUACCCUGGUAGUCCACGCCCUAAAACGAUGUCAACUAGUUGUUGGGGAUUCAUUUCCUUAGUAACGUAGCUAACGCGUGAAGUUGACCGCCUGGGGAGUACGGUCGCAAGAUUAAAACUUAAAGGAAUUGACGGGGUCAUAGCUGUUUCCU
rnacentral:rRNA from 1 species